GAGGAAGUGAUCAACGGCCAUUUUAUGGACGCUGCCAGACUGCAAGUUAUAACUGCGUGGGAGAGACCGUUUCACUUGGCAAAAACGAGGAGCUGUUAGAACGCCACAAAAGGAUGAUUCUGUGGAAAUGAGGAGAGAGGUUGUGAUUCGUGGAUUGGUGGUGUACCUCGGAGAAAAGGAGGAGAAUCUCUUUCAAGAGCAGUUGGCUGAUGGGGAUCUCACCAAGGAAGUGAUGAAGAUCAUUGUUACCAGAAGUGCCACAUCUGAUCCAGCCAGUGCACGGAUUGUAAUCGAGGGAACAGAAGUCCUGGAAGACGUGGACGUACCCAGGGCCUGUGCCUUGCUGAUGGGGCUGAUUUAUGCAAUUAAUCUCAGCUACCCAAAAGUACUGAAAAACACUUUUGAAGUUUUUCAAAAGAUAUUUCUUCAGCUGGAUGACCUGAAAGCAAAUCCUAAAGUAAUGUCUUUGAAAAGUAAACUGCUGUAAAAUGUGCAGAUUGUCCAAUAAUGCAGGAAAUGUUGCAUUUUGUUUGUGAAGUUUUUUUCUAUAUACAUUUACUUGAAGUACACUUAAAGUUCAAACCUGAAUUAUACUAAAAGUUAAAUGAAAGUUAAUUUCUCAGGUGCUGUUCUAAAAAUGAGAAGAAUUCAGCAGCUAAUACAGUUAUGCUCAAAAUAAUAGCAGUGUCUUAAAAAGGUAAGUGUCCAACUUCUUCAAAUAAAUUGUACUUAAAUGAACAGAAAUGCAUUGUGGACACUGAAAUUGGAAAAAAUAAUUAGGGGCGAAGCUGCGAGGCACCUUAAGUGUUUGUAGGUUUUCUUAGGUUUUACUUGCAAAAACUUGCUGUGCUUGCCUCUGUCAGUCAGCCUCUGUGUCUGCCUUGUCGGUUCUAUCUGUUGCCUUGGCAACUUGGGCUGGCGUCUUAGGCGGGUUCACUGCUUGGCCCCGCAUUGCUGCUUGUAGCUAUAUUUCAGUUUUUUAUUUCACAGAAUGUCAAGAAAUGCAAUGUUCAAAAAAUAGCAUUGACCUCUGUCUUUGAAAACUAUUUUUUGAACAUUACUUUUCUUCAUAUUCUGUGAAAUAAGAUAAAUUAAUUACUUUCUCCAAUUUCUUGCUUCGAAAUAGAAUGUACAGUGUCCCUAAUGCAUUUGUGUUCAUUAAAGUACAAUUUAUUUGAAGAUUAUUUGACAUUUACUUACCUUUUUACAGACACUGCUAUUAUUCUUACCAUAACUGUAUAUAUGCACUUUUGUAUGGCUUUGCUUUUUUUUUACUUUUGCACUUUUGUAAGGUUGGCCUUUAUACACUCUAUUUUGAACAAGUUUAGUACAUUUAAAACAGACCAACUGGAAGAACACUAUUCAGAACUGUUCAGCAGACAGUAAAUGGAAGACAAUUUUGGCACAUGUGCAGUGCAAAAGGCUGCCAAUUUGUUUGGCAUGCAUUGAGGUCUUAAGCAGGCAAUUUUCUAUCUUCUUCUGUAUGUCUAUGUUCAGCAGACAGUAAAUGAAAGACACUGUGAGACGCUGCUUAUAUUUGUUGACCUUGGUUUCAAUAAAUAGACACUCUUGGAAA